rnacentral:rRNA from 1 species
UACAGAGGUGCCAAGCGUUGUUCGGAUUUAUUGGGCGUAAAGGGCGCGUAGGCGGUUGUGUAAGUCGGGUGUGAAAUUUCGGAGCCUAACUCCGAAACUGCAUUCGAAACUGCACAGCUCGAGGUCUGGAGAGGUGAUUGGAAUUCUAGGUGUAGCAGUGAAAUGCGUAGAUAUCUAGAGGAACACCAGAGGCGAAAGCGAAUCACUGGACAGAACCUGACGCUGAGGCACGAAAGCUAGGGGAGCAAACGGG